rnacentral:tRNA from 1 species
AAAGUCUUAAGUUAAUUAAACUUGUAUCGUUCAAAGAUACCAUUACUCAUUUGGGUAGACUUUA